rnacentral:rRNA from 1 species
UACGUAGGGCGCAAGCGUUGUCCGGAAUUAUUGGGCGUAAAGAGCUCGUAGGCGGCUUGUCGCGUCGAUUGUGAAAGCCCGGGGCUUAACUCCGGGUCUGCAGUCGAUACGGGCAGGCUAGAGUGUGGUAGGGGAGAUCGGAAUUCCUGGUGUAGCGGUGAAAUGCGCAGAUAUCAGGAGGAACACCGGUGGCGAAGGCGGCAUCCUGGACCGGCAUUGACGCUGAGGCGCGAAAGCCAGGGGAGCAAACGGG